AAGUCGUAACAAGGUUUUGUAGAGCAUAAAUGAUCCUUCUAUGGGUGCAUUUACCGAAACCUUAGUGGACCAGAAAAAAAUGGUUGGCCAAACGACAGUAAAUAAAUUGGCCCCUUAGUUAUACUUGUUACAGAACUUAACUGGGGCACUGGUCCUCUUUGAAAGGGCAACACCUUGAGUCUGCAGGGUCAUUCCUACCAGGAACCACCUGCAGCCCGACAACUAACUUCGUUGUCGGGCUCACAGACUAAAUAAUGGUGGGCGCUGGUGACAUCUCACGGCGUUUCAGAUAUAGUCGUAUCUUAACUUACACAAUUGUUGAGUACGUGCACAUUUUUAACUGUGGAAAAAUCUUGUUCCGUAGGUGAACCUGCGGAAGGAUCAUUA
rnacentral:rRNA from 1 species